rnacentral:rRNA from 1 species
CAAGUAGGUAGUGAAAGCCUGGGGCUCAACCCUUUAAACAUUAUCUAAACUGCUAAGCUAGAAUAUAGAAGAGGUAGCUGGAAUUCCUAGUGUAGGAGUGGAAUCCGUAGAUAUUAGGAGGAACACCGAUGGCGUAGGCAGGCUACUGGUCUAUUAUUGACGCUAAGGCACGAAAGCGUGGGGAGCGAACGGGAUUAGAUACCCCGGUAGUCCACGCCGUAAACUAUGGAUGCUA